UACGAAGGGGGCUAGCGUUGCUCGGAAUCACUGGGCGUAAAGCGCACGUAGGCGGACUCUUAAGCCAGGGGUGAAAUCCUGGAGCUCAACUCCAGAACUGCCUUUGAUACUGGGAGUCUUGAGUUCGGGAGAGGUGAGUGGAACUGCGAGUGUAGAGGUGAAAUUCGUAGAUAUUCGCAAGAUCACCAGUGGCGAAGGCGGCUCACUGGCCCGAUACUGACGCUGAGGUGCGAAAGCGUGGGGAGCAAACAGG
rnacentral:rRNA from 1 species